GACGAACGCUGGCGGCGUGCCUAAUACAUGCAAGUCGAACGCACUCUCGUUUAGAUUGAAGGAGCUUGCUCCUGAUUGAUAAACAUUUGAGUGAGUGGCGGACGGGUGAGUAACACGUGGGUAACCUGCCCUAAAGUGGGGGAUAACAUUUGGAAACAGAUGCUAAUACCGCAUAAAACCUAAACACCGCAUGGUGUAGGGUUGAAAGAUGGUUUCGGCUAUCACUUUAGGAUGGACCCGCGGUGCAUUAGUUAGUUGGUGAGGUAAAGGCUCACCAAGACCGUGAUGCAUAGCCGACCUGAGAGGGUAAUCGGCCACACUGGGACUGAGACACGGCCCAGACUCCUACGGGAGGCAGCAGUAGGGAAUCUUCCACAAUGGACGAAAGUCUGAUGGAGCAACGCCGCGUGAGUGAAGAAGGUUUUCGGAUCGUAAAAACUCUGUUGUUGGAGAAGAAUGUAUCUGAUAGUAACUGAUCAGGUAGUGACGGUAUCC
rnacentral:rRNA from 1 species